rnacentral:rRNA from 1 species
AACGAACGCUGGCGGCAGGCUUAACACAUGCAAGUCGAACGCCCCGCAAGGGGAGUGGCAGACGGGUGAGUAACGCGUGGGAAUCUACCCAGUUCUACGGAACAACUGAGGGAAACUUCAGCUAAUACCGUAUACGCCCCAAGGGGGAAAGAUUGAUCGGAAUUGGAUGAGCCCGCGUGGGAUUAGCUAGUUGGUGAGGUACCGGCUCACCAAGGCGACGCUCCAUAGCUGGUCUGAGAGGAUGAUCAGCCAAACUGGGACUGAGACACGGCGCAGACUCAUACGGGAGGCAGCAGUGGGGAAUAUUGGACAAUGGGCGCAAGCCUGAUCCAGCCAUGCCGCGUGAGUGAUGAAGGCCUUAGGGUUGUAAAGCUCUGUCAGUGGGGACGAUAAUGACGGUACCCACAGAAGAAGCCCCGGCUAACUUCGUGCCAGCCGCCGCGGUAACAC